CUCCGGUUGAUCCUGCCGGACCCGACUGCUAUCAGAGUGGGACUAAGCCAUGCGAGUCAACAUAGCAAUAUGUGGCAUACGGCUCAGUAACACGUAGUCAACAUGCCCAGGGGACGUGGAUAACCUCGGGAAACUGAGGAUAAACCGCGAUAAGUCACUACUUCUGGAAUGGGUAAUGACUCAAAUCUACAUGGCCCCUGGAUUGGACUGCGGCCGAUCAGGCUGUUGGUGAGGUAAUGGCCCACCAAACCUGUAACCGGUACGGGCUCUGAGAGGAGGAGCCCGGAGAUGGGCACUGAGACAAGGGCCCAGGCCCUAUGGGGCGCAGCAGGCGCGAAACCUCUGCAAUAGGCGAAAGCCUGACAGGGUUACUCUGAGUGAUUUCCGUUAAGGAGAUCUUUUGGCACCUCUAAAAAUGGUGCAGAAUAAGGGGUGGGCAAGUCUGGUGUCAGCCGCCGCGGUAAUACCAGCACCCCGAGUGGUCGGGACGUUUAUUGGGCCUAAAGCAUCCGUAGCCGGUUCUACAAGUCUUCCGUUAAAUCCACCUGCUUAACAGAUGGGCUGCGGAAGAUACUAUAGAGCUAGGAGGCGGGAGAGGCAAGCGGUACUCGAUGGGUAGGGGUAAAAUCCGUUGAUCCAUUGAAGACCACCAGUGGCGAAGGCGGUCUACCAGAACGCGUUCGACGGUGAGGGAUGAAAGCUGGGGGAGCAAACCGGAUUAGAUACCCGGGUAGUCCCAGCUGUAAACGAUGCAAACUCGGUGAUGCAUUGGCUUAUGGCCAAUGCAGUGCCGCAGGGAAGCCGUUAAGUUUGCCGCCUGGGAAGUACGGACGCAAGUCUGAAACUUAAAGGAAUUGGCGGGGGAGCA
rnacentral:rRNA from 1 species